AGGAUUUCUACUUUUCAUAUAUUUCUGUUUAGUAUUAGUUUCUCCAAGGCUGGGACUAUGUUUAAGAUGUCAUGGCUAUUACAAAAUUGAACAGUUUCAAGGAAACACCUAGCACUUGUUCCCAAUGGUUGCAGGGAAUUAGAACUAGCUGGGGAACAUAUUAAAAAGGCAGUGAAUUCAAUAACUUCUUCCACAUUUAUUAGCUGACAUACUUCUGAAGUAAGGGACUUUCUUCUAUAUACAGUGAUUUUUGUUGCUGUUGAUCUUUGUUUGUAUUUAGGGCUGCACCUGUGGCAUUUGGAAUUUCCCAGGCUAGGGGUUGACUCAGAGCUGCAGCUGCCAGCCUAUGCCACAGCCACAUCCUUAACCCACAGAGAUUCUUAACCCACUGAGCGAGGCCAGGGAUCAAACCCACAUCCUCAUGGAUGCCAGUUGGGUUCUUAACCAGCUGGAACCACAAUGGGAACUCCUGUCGAUGUUUAUUUUUUAUUUUUUUUCUUUUUACCACCACAACUGUGACAUAAAGAAGUUCCCAGGCUAGGGGUCGAGUGGAAGCUGCAGCUGCCGGCCUACACUACAGCCAUGGCAAUGCUCGAUCUGAGCCUUGUCUGAGAGCUACACCACAGGUCACAGCAAUGCCAGAUCCAUAACCCACUGAGUGAGGCAAGGGAUCAAACACUCAUCCUCAAGGAUACUAGUUGGGUUUGUAACCCACUAAGCCAAAAUGGGAAUUCCAGAUUUUUAAUUUCACUAUUAUAAAGAUUCUUAUCUAAUGUGCUCUAAUUCAUGACUAUUAUUAUUCUGUUUUCUGCUUAAAUAUAUCAAAUUUGGCCAGUACGAACCUCUUCAGGCUGACUCCUAUGUUUUUUGACAGGUGCCCAUUGUCUUUAAGCACUUUUUUUUUUUUUUUCUUUUUGCUUUUUGGCAUAACAAGCUAUCCCAGGGUCAUCCUGCCUUGUCCUGGGAUCAGCCAUUCCUUAAGGAGCCCUGGUCCCUUUUAGUGUAAAAUGCUAUUUAAAAACCGAGAUCUGGAGACUAGCUGUGCUUAUUUAUACAAUAUUAAUGGGUAAAGUUCACAUUCAUAGUCUCAUUUCAAAUCCUACACCAUAAGAUACUACCUUAACUUUUCCUUAUUCCAUAUUUUUCGCAAUAUGUGAGAAAUCUGACUUUCACACAUGUUAAUAUAUUUAUUUGGUGUUUCCUACAAUACAGAAGGAAAAUGCUUCAGAAUUACCGUUACUAUUCCGAUAGCAGUAUCAACAACAAACCUACUUAGAAAAUGCAAAAUUUCUUUGCAGUUCAUUUUGUCCUUAGGAUAGAGUUCAGUAAAGGUGCACAGAUCCAAUCUACCCUCUAUAUAUCUACAGACCCAGAUGGCAGGGAUUCUAUAAAAUAAGUGGCUUGGCCUCCUCAAAAAUGUCAAGUGAUGGAAGACAAAAAGACUGGAAUUUUCUAAAAGAAAGGAAGCUAGUUGGAAUUUCAUGGUGGCCUAGUGGUUAAGGAUCCCAUGUUGUAUACUCAUGUAGGCUUUGGUCACUGCUGUGGCACAGAUUCAAUCCCUGGCCUGGAAACUUCCCCAUGACAUGGGUGCCCCCCCCCCAAAAAAAAAGGAAACUAAAGGGACCUUAAAACCAAAUAAAACGCAAGCUCUUGGAUUAGAUUGUCAAAGAAAAACUACAAGGACUUUUUUUUUUUUUGAGGUUAAAGGCAUUUAAAUAUAGACUGUAUAUUCAGUAAUAUAAUUGCAUCCACGUUAGUUAAGGUUUUGGUGUGUUAAUGAUAUUAUGGUUGUAGAAAUUUUUCCUCUUAGAAGAUAUGUACUGAUGUGUUUAGAGGGGAAAUGAGGGCUGUAACUGACUUUCAAAUAGAGAAAGAGAGGAAUUACCAAGAAAAUGUGGCAAAGUAUCAACCGACUUUCAAAUACUGUGAGAGGGAAUAAGAGAAAGAGAUCUAUGAUGUGAAUGUGGCAAAAUUAGCAGUAAGUGGAUCUAGUGAAAGAUGAUGGGAUUUGUUGUACGAUUCUUUCCAAUUAGUAGUAGGUUUAAUACUUUUGUUUCAAAACAGAGUUGGGAAUAAUAAUGCAUAAACCUAAGCCCUGUUUCAAAAGAUUCUGAUGAGUUUGUUCUUGGGAGGGGGUUUGGAAAUGUACGUUUUAUCAAGGGAGUUCUGAGGCAGCAAACUAUGGCCCUGAUCCAGGCAUUUGUUUUUGUCAAUAAAGUUUUAUUGGAACACAGCCAUAGACAUUCAUUUACAUAUUGUCCAUGGCUUCCUUUACACUAAAAUGGCAAGCAGAAUUGAAUAAUCCACCUGGCUAUAGAGCCCUUUGACCUUUGAACUGUGUGACAGGAGAGAUGGUAAAAAAUCUAGAAAUAGGAGUUCCCAUUGUGGCUCAGCGAGUUGAACGCAACAGUAGUAUCUAUGAGCAGGCGGGUUCAAUUCCUGGCCUCACUCAGUGGGUUAAGCAUCUGUCGUUGCUACAAGCUGCUUAGUAGGUCACAGAUGUGCCUCAGAUCUGGUGUUACUUUGGCUGUGACACAGGCUGGCAGCUGCAGUUCCAAUUAGACCCCUAGCCUCAGAAUUUCCAUAUGCCACAGGUGUGUCCAUUAAAAAAAGAAGAAAAGAAAAAAAAAUCUAAAAAUAUUUCUAACUUGGCCCUUUUCAGGAAAAGAAAGAAAGAAAGAAAAAAUGACCCCUGCUCUAGUGUAUACAAACUCGGGAAAAGGACUGGAGAAACUUUAAAAGCAGAGGAAAACUGGAAAUUUGGUGAAGAGGCACUGAUCUGGCAAAUAGUAAACAUUCCAGCCCAUGGUAGCUAACAUAUGCUAUACAAGAGAAACAAGCAAAUAAAAAGAAUCAGAACCAACCAGAACGACUCUUGAUUGUUCCUACAAUGGGCCAAUUUGUGCUUGCUUAUAAAAUAGUCAUAUCAGCUCUGUGAAGCAGAAGUCAUCCAGGCAUCAUAAACAGGAACUUGGAAUCUAGAGGGAUAAAGAAGCCCACUCUAGGGCACAUCAGUUUGAGGUCAAAAUGUUGACAUUCAGACUUCAGAUUUAAGUUUUUUGUUUUUGUUUUUUGUUUUUUGUUUUUUUUUGUCUUUUUAGGGCCACACCUGCAGCAUAUGGAGGUUCCUAGGUUAGGGGUUGAAUCGGAGCUAUAGCUGCUGGCUUAAGCCACAGCCACAGCAAUGCCAGAUCCUGGCCUUGUCUGCUAAGGCCAAGGAUCGAACCCGAGUCCUCACGGAUACUAGUUGGGUUUGUUACCACUGAGCCAGAGUGGGAACUCACAGACUUAGGUUUGACAAACACACAUCGUGUCCCCUUUCCGCUGGGUCACUCUGCCAACUUCACCAUAUUUGAAGCUUCAGUUGAUUGAAACUCAGAUUUUCCAUCCACACAGUCCUCUGAGUAAAGGCCUUUAUAGUCAUUUUGAAAGGGAAACCCACAAGAGGAUCAACCUCUCUUCCAAAGAGUGAGUCUCUGGCAGCCGUAAUAUUGCUGUUUUAAACUCUGUCCCAUGGGCUUUCUGAAAGGCUAAAAAAAAAAAAACAAAAAAAACAAAAAACAACCUUGGCUCUUCCUUUCAGUGUCACCAACACCCAUGCCCCCAAGUAAAAGCAGAUUUAGAUUAUGGUCAGAGCAAGCGAGUCCUAUUUUUGCACAAAUGCAAAAACACUUUAUUGCCAUUUAUUUUCUUUCCAGAAAGUCAAACAGUUGAAAACUGUGUCUGGGGCUGGUUAGGGAUUUCUUUCCUCCUUCUUUCUUUUCAAGAGAGAAUUUUGUUUUUCCCAAUAGAAUCUACUUAGAGUGAGCUUAGAUACUGUCACAAAAAAUUCAUUAUAAUCAGUGAGUUCUGAAACUUUGUCAAGGUUCAAGUUAUUGUGAUUUUGCUUUGGGGAAGGGGGGAAGAUUAUGAGAGUAAGAUAAUGUCAUACAUAACCUUAGGAUGAUGAUGACAAUGAUAUACAAAUAUACAUAUUUGACAGGAUGUUUAUUCUUUACUUUCAGAAAGAAACAUGUCUUCUUUCAAUUUUCUUAAAAUAUUCUGCCCUCAGUUUUCUAUUAAGUUUUCCAAAUUUUUUUUUUUUUUGAUCUUUUCUAUGGCCACACCCAUGGCACAUGGAGAUUCCCAGGCUAGGGGUCUAAAAUCGGAGCUAUAGCCACCAGCCUACACCAGAGCCACAGCAACACAGGAUCCGAGCCAUGUCUGCGACCUACACCACAGCUCAUGGCAACGCCAGAUCCUUAACUCGCUGUGUGAGGCCAGGGAUCGAACCUGCAACCUCAUGGUUUCUAGUCAGAUUUGUUAACCACUGAGCCAUGACGGGAACUCCAAGUUUUCCAAAUUUUGAUAGAGACAUAAGUGUAGAAGAGAUAGUUCUCUGCAGGUACCAAGAUAUCUGAUCCUAGAUUUGGGUAGUAAUCAGUGGUGUGGGAUAUGCAAACCUGGAAAGCAUAAGCUGCUUGUAAAGGGCCAGCACUGCUUUGCAACAAGCUGUGAUUAUUAUCAUUUGGGAAGGCAUAGAGGUCAGAUCCUCUGGUUUUCUAAGACAGUCAAGAAAUGUGGAGUUCUCAUGGUGGCCCAGGGGUUAAGAACAACAACAGUGUAUGUGAGGAUGCAGGUUCAACCCAUGCCCUCACUCAGUGGUUUAAGGAUCU
rnacentral:lncRNA from 1 species